GACGAACCGAGCGAACGUUAUUCGGAAUCACUGGGCUUAAAGGGCGCGUAGGCGGGCAUUCAAGUCUGUGGUGAAAUCCUCCAGCUCAACUGGAGAACUGCCGUGGAUACUGGGUGUCUCGAGGGAGGUAGGGGCGUGCGGAACUAAUGGUGGAGCGGUGAAAUGCGUUGAUAUCGAGAGGAACACCGGUGGCGAAGGCGGCUUCCUGGACAGUUACUGACGCUGAGACGCGAAAGCGUGGGGAACAAACAGG
rnacentral:rRNA from 1 species